rnacentral:rRNA from 1 species
AGUGAACGCUGGCGGUAGGCCUAACACAUGCAAGUCGAACGGCAGCACAGUAAGAGCUUGCUCUUACGGGUGGCGAGUGGCGGACGGGUGAGGAAUACAUCGGAAUCUACUUUUUCGUGGGGGAUAACGUAGGGAAACUUACGCUAAUACCGCAUACGACCUACGGGUGAAAGCAGGGGAUCUUCGGACCUUGCGCGAUUGAAUGAGCCGAUGUCGGAUUAGCUAGUUGGCGGGGUAAAGGCCCACCAAGGCGACGAACCGUAGCUGGUCUGAGAGGAUGAUCAGCCACACUGGAACUGAGACACGGUCCAGACUCCUACGGGAGGCAGCAGUGGGGAAUAUUGGACAAUGGGCGCAAGCCUGAUCUAGCCAUACCGCGUGGGUGAAGAAGGCCUUCGGGUUGUAAAGCCCUUUUGUUGGGAAAGAAAAGCAGCAGGUUAAUACCCCGCUGUUCUGACGGUACCCAAAGAAUAAGCACCGGCUAACUUCGU